rnacentral:rRNA from 1 species
AGAGUUUGAUCAUGGCUCAGAACGAACGCUGGCGGCGUGCUUAACACAUGCAAGUCGUGCGCGAAGGUGACUUCGGUCACCGGAGAGCGGCGAACGGGUGAGUAACACGUGGGUGAUCUGCCUGUGAGCGGGGGAUAACCUGGGGAAACUCGGGCUAAUACCGCAUACGUUGGUCUGGUUACGAUCAGGUCAAGAAAGCUGGCCUCUAUUUAUAAGCUAGCGCUCGCAGAGGAGCCCGCGGCUGAUUAGCUAGUUGGUGAGGUAAUGGCUCACCAAGGCGACGAUCAGUAGCCGGCCUGAGAGGGUGAUCGGCCACACUGGGACUGAGACACGGCCCAGACUCCUACGGGAGGCAGCAGUGGGGAAUAUUGGACAAUGGGCGCAAGCCUGAUCCAGCAACGCCGCGUGGAGGACGAAGGUCUUCGGAUCGUAAACUCCUGUCAGGCGGGACGAAGGUUGCGGGGCAAAUAGUCCUGCAGCUUGACGGUACUGCCAGAGGAAGCCCCGGCUAACUCCGUGCCAGCAGCCGCGGUAAUACGGAGGGGGCGAGCGUUAUUCGGAAUUAUUGGGCGUAAAGGGCGCGUAGGCGGCCCGGUAAGUCAAAGGUGAAAUCCCUCGGCUCAACUGAGGAACUGCCUUUGAAACUGUCGGGCUUGAGGCCGGGAGGGGAGCGGAAUUCCCAGUGUAGCGGUGAAAUGCGUAGAUAUUGGGAGGAACACCGGUGGCGAAGGCGGCUACCUGGACCGGUUCUGACGCUGAUGCGCGAAAGCGUGGGUAGCAAACAGGAUUAGAUACCCUAGUAGUCC